rnacentral:rRNA from 1 species
AUUUAACGCUGGCGGCAUGCCUUACACAUGCAAGUCGAACGGUAACAGGUUAAGCUGACGCGUGGCGAACGGGUGAGUAAUGUAUCGGAACGUGCUUAGUUGUGGAGGAUAACUGAUCGAAAGAGCAGCUAAUACCGCAUACGACCUGAGCGUGACAUCGGGGGAUCGCAAGAACUCGCGAAAUUGCAACGGCCGAUAUCAGAUUAGGUAGUUGGUGGGGUAAAGGCUAACCAAGCCGACGAUCUGUAGCUGGUCAGAGUGGACGACGAGCCACACUGGGACUGAGACACGGCCCAGACUCCAACGGAAGGCAGAAGUGGGGAAUUUUGGACAAAGGGCGCAAGCCUGAUCCAGCCAUGCCGCGUGCGGGAAGAAGGCCUUCGGGUUGUAAACCGCUUUUGUCAGGGAGGAAACGCUCUGGGUUAAUACCCUGGGGUAAUGACGGUACCUGAAGAAUAAGCACCGGCUAACUACGUGCCAGCAGCCGCCGUAAGAC